rnacentral:sRNA from 1 species
AUCUUUCUACCAUUAAGAGGAAGUUAGACACUGGACAGUAUCAGGAGCCCUGGCAAUAUGUCGAUGAUAUUUGGCUGAUGUUCAAUAAUGCCUGGUUAUAUAACCGGAAAACAUCACGGGUAUACAAAUACUGCUCCAAGCUCUCUGAGGUCUUUGAACAAGAAAUUGACCCAGUGAUGCAAAGCCUUGGAUACUGUUGUGGCAGAAAGUUGGAGUUCUCUCCACAGACACUGUGUUGCUACGGCAAACAGUUGUGCACAAUACCUCGUGAUGCCACUUAUUACAGUUACCAGAACAGGUAAGCUUGGCCAGGUGUGGACCAUGGUCCAUGUGUCCACAUGUCCAGGGAGUGCAUGCGGAUGGGCCAGCACACAUAGAGUCAUGGUUCAUGUGUAUCUUGCU